rnacentral:rRNA from 1 species
UGGACCUCAGAUCAGGCAAGAUUACCCGCUGAGUUUAAGCAUAUCACUAAGCGGAGGAAAAGAAACUAACAAGGAUUUCCCUAGUAACGGCGAGCGAACCGGAAGAGCCCAGCUUGAAAUCG